rnacentral:lncRNA from 1 species
ACCCGUGCAGACACAGCAGGAGCUGUCUCCCCCCACGCACACAUAGACCUCCAUGGAGACGUGGCUGACUGGUACACUCAUCAAAGUUGAGUCCACAGCGGUCUCCAGGGAAUCCAGGUGAACGCAAUUUCUUUAAAAGAGAACCUUGAGAUGAAAAGAUCAUCCCGGAUUAUCUACUUUGGCCCGAUGAAAUCACAAGGAAGAAGCAAGUUACAAAGCCAAUGAAGGGUUUGGCUCAAGAGCAUUCCAGCCAAACUUAGCUUAUCAAGGAAGUUAUAAAUCCCCCACUAAAGAGCCUUUUCGUACCGCUUCAGCCUAGACUACUCCAUCCACCGCUCCACCACUGACCUGUUUUUCUAAGUCUCAAGAAUUCAGAGAACCCUGAGGGGAAGAAUUUGAUGGAGACAACUCAUUCAGGGCUGCGUGUCCCAAGGUCUCUCAUCCCCUGUAUAAUGUCUGCCUGUGGGAUGUUUGUUCCUGUCUGCGACAGGAGGAAGCGUCUCUGAUGAUGACGGAAGGUGUCACUGGAAAACGAGGGUUGCUUUAAAGCAUGUUGUUCAGAUUUCAUUCUUUUAAAACCCAGAGAAAUUGCUGAUCUCCAUGCUGUCCUCUCACAAGGGGCCAUGCUGAUGCUGCCAGGACGGAGGCAGUCUAGCCUGAGCCAGAGCCAGAAGCGAGUUACUAUGUAACACCCAGGGAACAGCAGGAGUAACAGGCCAGCUCCAGAUGCAGCUCACAUUACCAGACCCCCCCACGCCCACUGCUGACACAGAAGAGACCUGUCAACCUAGCAUCCUAAUUUCCGAUGGGGACAGAGACAACUGCACAAGGCAGAAGGACCACCAAAUCUCUACCUCGGGGCUCAAAGAGUCUGCAGAAAGGGGAUAGAGAGAUUCUAGGAGACUGUGGGAACCGAAGACAACAUGGAAACAAAGCCUUCUAUACCCAGCAGGACUGACGCACUUAGAUGAACUCAUGGAGCAUGCGCAGGGCCUGCACACGUCUAAGCUGGAUGGGGUCCCAGCGCUGAGAGAGGAAGUAGACACAAGGUCCUAUCCCUAGCCCAGAAGUUAUCUUCAACUGAUAACUGCUCAAAAAGGAAGAAUUAGUUUCCUCUAAAGGAGUCUUUCUGGAUCCCUGUUUUCUAAUGAGAGAAAAGGGGGUGUGGAUUUGUGGUGAGGAGAAGGCGGAGAGGACCUGGGAGGAACUGGGCGAGGGGAACCGUACUCAGAACAUAUUGUAUAAUAAAAACAUCUAUUUUCAAUAAAAAAAAAAUUGAUUUGCUCAGCAGGUAAAAGUGCCUUCCUGUGACAUAGCUGUAGCCGCCUGUGCCUAGGCCGUAGCCAUAGCGCUCUCCCAGAAACACAGGGUCGCUGGAGUCAUAGCAGCUAAGCAGGUGUCGGAGCCUGGAGAUGCUGAGACACAAAGAGAAGGCUUGUUUAGUUCUUAUAUGGCUUCAGAAUGAAGUAUUUAGAGGCUUUUCUGAGUGUCGGGCAUGUAGAGGAAAAGCACGUCCCUGCUCCCUAACAAGGACCACUGGGCUGGAUGUGUGCAGCAUGGCAGUGCUGGCAGAUCUCAACGCAGAACCCCAAUCUUUCAAGGCCAGAGGGUGCUGUAUCCUGGCCUAUUAUUGCUACCCUUCCUUUACUUCUGAAAAGGAAAAGCCUGCCUGCGCUGCUCCUGCCCAUCGUCAGGCAUCAAGAUGCUGACUGAACUCCACAAGUAUGCUUUCUCAGAGACUCGGGAUUUCUCCGGCUUUCCCUAAAACCCCUCCUGGUGUCCUCAUGCCCGCUCAACUCCAUGUGCCCCACAUCUGUCAAGACUCGGUUUCUCUGCUUCGGAGUAUUUCUUUUAAAUUCUAAUUAAAUUGUCUUGGA